rnacentral:tRNA from 1 species
UGGGGUGUAGCUCAGUGGUAGAGCACUUAUACCUAGUAUACCCUAGACCCUGGGUUUGACCCCCAGCACCACAA